UUUUAAAUGGUGUCGCAUAGUGUAAUGUUUAUAAAUUAAGUAAAAAAGGCUUGAUUUCAGGAAAGAUUUGAUAUAGUUGAUGUAUCUCGAAUUACUUUAUUUUGAAAAAAAGCAAUGAAUGCGAUAUUGCAAGAGAAAUCAUUCAUCAAAAUUUUUUCGUUAUACAGAACAACAGCACAGUUAGUAUUUCUUGAUAAUACUGAUUACAAUUAAUAUGGUUUUUUUUAGAACUAAAAUUGAUUACUAAUUCAUUCUUUGGUCUAAUUUCUAUAUCGUUUUUCGAAAAUUACUACUCCAUUAAUGUUUCUCUAGCUGUUUUAUUUACUUACUUUAAAUAUUUCUCACUAUAGCACGUGAGUGUAACGAGGUAACAAAAUUGACUAUAUGAAACGAGAGUUAGUUUCAAAGAAAAGGAAAAGCAGGUAAUUCUUUUACGGUCAUUUAUCAUUGAUUUUUUAGGUAUAAAAAAAUUUUGUGUCGAAGAGUUGUGAAAUUUUUAAUAGAUUACUCAACACAUGAUUUUCUAGAUGAGAACUGUAAAGUGUGUUCUUGGUUGUGAAAAGAAAACAUAUAACGAUGAAU